rnacentral:lncRNA from 1 species
CUCCUUAGCUUCUCCUUAGCCUCCCCCACGUCCAAAAGUCAGCCUCCUUUUUCUCCACCGUCGCUCCCUUACUCUUUAUUUUUAUUUUAGGUUUCUCUUAUAUGAGCAUUUAACAUUCUGUGCCUGACUUAUUUGGCUUAGCAUCCCGGCCUCGAGUUUCACCCUUUUUUGGGAUUCGUCCUUCCUUAUGGCUGACUGACAUUCUAUUUGGUGUCUAGAUCAUAUUUCCUUUACUCAUUCGUUUGUCCAUGGAGGGAGAUUACUAUAACAGCGACACAAAUCCCAGGUCCAAAGUUAGGCCCACGGAGGCAUGUGUAGCAUAUUGACGUUUAUUUGUUCCAUGUGUUUGUCUCCCAGAUACUCCCCCACUCUCCUGGAGAUGUAAUUUCAGUUGUGUGGCUACCUUAAGAUAAUCGGGUUCCUUCUGGCCUUUGGAAGACCGUGUAGCUGACACCCGCGGUGGCCUUGGGGUGUCAUCGAGCUGCAUUUCUCAGUUCUGGCCCUAUGUCAUUUCCGGGAGGUGAAUCUCAGGGGACACAAUAGACCUUUGUGUCGUUCGCAUGCCUCUGAGCUUUAAAACCUGCAACACCAGCAUUCGCUUAUUAAGUAAUUUACCAUUCACUUCUCACAGGCAUCUUCAGGCAGCAAGGGAGCUGGUGACCCAGUUGCUGAAAGGGCUCACGGGGAAGCUCCGGGAAACCCGAGUCCGGUGGUAUUCCAACACGUCAGAGUGGUGUGUUCCACCCCCACCUUCACGCGUGCAGAGACGGCGCUCACUUCAAGCUGCCCGGCGGUUUGGAGCAACGCUGUUGAAGAGAUGGCUAUUUUAAAUCGACUUCAGGUAACAAUUGAUUGGGGAGAGGAAAUUGAUUUGCAUACAGAGCAGAUGCAGGAGACACAGGGAGAGGCCUGGAAGUCCACCGUAGAAGCAACACAACUGCUGUGCACGGCACCCGUU